CUGCGAGGCGUUGCCAGCGGAGGGAACCUGCCGCCGCCUCCUCCCCCUCCACCCUCGGAGCCCGGCCGGGGGAGUCGGGCGCCGGCCGGGGAGGAGGAAGUUGCGGCCCAGCUGGGACAGCAGCAGGUGGGAAGCUCCGCGCCCGGCUGUUGCGGCUGCCUGAUUGCAGCCUGGCCUUGGGCAAAGCUUCCUACUCCGUCUGGAGCCCCACACACUUCCCGGUUCCCCCGCUCGGGGGCCGCUUGCCCUGCGUGCUCCUCGAGGGGCCUGCGAGGUGCCAGCGCCGGGGAGAGACAUUUGCCGCCGGGGCAGGAUUGCUCGUCGGCCCCGGCACGUCUCGCUCUCCCCUCCCUGUCUGCCGGAGCCCCUCGGCCCUUGGAAGCCCCCCGGGGAGGCUGCAGCGCCCGGAGAAGCCGCUGAGUCAAUGGGGCGAGGGACUGGGGCGGGCGCGCAGAGCCCCCAGGAUUGAGACGCGCGCAAGUGCGGUCACUGCAGCGCUGCUUGGCUGUUUCUUCUCCCGACAGUUCGCGAAUUACUUACAAGGAGCCUAGGCUUCUCUGAAGGGUGGACGGCUCGUUCCCUCUCGCCUUGUCCGCCCUCAAUCUCUCCACCGCCGCCCGGCACGCUUUGCUGAUCUAAAAUCAGAACAAUUAGAGAGUAAUGAUUUUUUUGGAAUAGCAACUCCUACAGACACUGAGAUCUGCCCUCGCUUCAGCGCCUCCCAGCCCUCAUUCCCAGCAGCCAGGCAAGAGCGCGCAGACCCCUAAAAAGCAGCUUGUGUUACCCGGGUCUGGAUCCUGGAAGUUUAUAAACUAAUCCGUGUGUGUGUGUAAACCGAAGAGUGAGAUCAAAUGCACCAAAGACUAAACGAAGCCAAUGCCUCAGUCCUGUCUGUCCUAGCCCUGCAAUAGAGGCAUCACUAGGAAUUUUUCAAAUGCUGAAGAACAGGGGCAUCUGCUGCCACAGAGAGAAGUUGCUCUUUUGCCUUUAGCCAUGGAUGUAUCAGGGUGGUAAUGUAUUCACCUGGAGAGCCCACAGAUACCACUGACACAGCAGCUGCUCUGACAAUAGCCCAUCAAUUGUACUCUCUUCUCUUUCUCCCCUCUCCUCCUCCUUCCUGCUAUCCACACACAAAUUCUUCAAGGAAAACCUCUACGAUGCUUCCUGACAACAGGGCUGAAAUAUCUGGAGUAGCAGAUACCUUAGAAGGGCUAUCUUGGAAACUUCUGAAUGAAAUUGAUGGUAUUAGAAGUGCUGAUGAAGAACUAAUUUAAAUGGAAAAGGUAGACAUCCAGAAAAAAGGAAACAUUUAGAGAUAGCGUUAAUUGGAAGAUUUUUAUUUUAAAAUCCAUUCUUAAAAAAAAAAAAACUUCAAUUUUUUUGUGUGGAGUGACUUUCCUUGCACCGUACAUAUGGGCUAUUCUAAAAUACAUCUCUCUCCUUUUAUUCAUGAAAAAUAAUACGACGAAGAGAAUUUUUGAUGGAGAAGUAUCUGGGUCAGGAAAAUGACCCAGAACCGAGAUUUAUGCUUUACCGGAGAAUAUCCUUAUAUUACUAGACCUGUAGAAAAGAAAAUUCUGCAUUUUUCUCAUAUAUUUAAGUAAUGGCACCACAUGUUCCCUUCUGGAAAGAAUAAGAAGGGUGUGCAAACUGUGUCCACAGGCCAAAUCAAGCUCACAACUUAUAUAUACAGCUUAUGAACGAAGAAUGUUUUUACAUUUUUAAGGUAGCAAAAAAUCAAGAGAGGAAUACUAUUUUGUGACAUUUAAACAUUUUAUGAAAUUCAAAUAUGUGUAUUCAUGAAUAAAGUUUUAUUGGAACAUAGCUAUGUUCAUUCAGUUACAGAUUGUCUCUGACUGCUUCCCAGCUGCAACAGCAGAGUUGAGUGGGUGACACAGGGCCUGUAGGUGGGCCCAUACAGUCUAAAAUACUCACUAUCUGAUCCUUUAUUUUUAAAAAAGUUUGCUGAUUGCUGACCUAGAGUAAUGCGAUGAAGCAUCAGGCUGAAUUGAGUUAAAAGGAUGUGAGAACUGUCUCUCAUUUUGAUUCUUGGAGGCUGAGUAAAUUUGACUAAUUUACUUAAAUGUUGGUGCUUCCUCAUUAAAGUGGAGAUAAAAUUCAGGGCCAGGGGCAGUGGCUCACGCCUGUAAUUCCAGCACUUUGGGAGGCCAAGGCAGGUGGAUCACGAGGUCAGGAUUUCAAGACC